rnacentral:rRNA from 1 species
UACGUAGGUGGCGAGCGUUGUCCGGAUUUACUGGGCGUAAAGGGCGCGUAGGCGGACUUUUAAGUGAGAUGUGAAAUACCCGGGCUCAACUUGGGUGCAGCAUUUCAAACUGGAAGUCUAGAGUGCAGGAGAGGAGAGUGGAAUUCCUAGUGUAGCGGUGAAAUGCGUAGAGAUUAGGAAGAACACCAGUGGCGAAGGCGACUCUCUGGACUGUAACUGACGCUGAGGCUCGAAAGCGUGGGGAGCAAACAGG